rnacentral:rRNA from 1 species
UACGUAGGGUGCGAGCGUUAAUCGGAAUUACUGGGCGUAAAGCGUGCGCAGGCGGUUUUGUAAGCCAGAUGUGAAAUCCCCGGGCUUAGCCUGGGAAUGGCAUUUGGGACUGCAAGGCUUGAGUGCGGCAGAGGAGACUGGAAUUCCUGGUGUAGCAGUGAAAUGCGUAGAUAUCAGGAGGAAUACCGAUGGCGAAGGCAGGUCUCUGGGCCACUACUGACGCUGAGAAGCGAAAGCAUGGGGAGCGAACAGG